UUCGCAAUGCCCGAAAGGGUGACGAAGCGACGCCGCGUGCGGGAGGAAGGCCUUCGGGUUGUAAACCGCUGUCGGGAGUUAAGAAAUGCAAGGAUGUUAAUAGCGUUCUUGCUUGACUAAGGCUCCGGAGGAAGCCACGGCUAACUCUGUGCCAGCAGCCGCGGUAAUACAGAGGCGGCAAGCGUUGUUUGGAAUUAUUGGGCGUAAAGAGCACGUAGGCGGCUGUGUAAGUCGGUUGUGAAAGCCUUCCGUUCAACGGAAGAACGGCAUCCGAUACUGCAUGGCUUGAGUGUGGGAGGGGAGAGUGGAACUUCUGGUGGAGCGGUGAAAUGCGUAGAUAUCAGAAGGAACACCGGCGGCGAAGGCGACUCUCUGGUCCAUAACUGACGCUGAGUGUGCGAAAGCUAGGGGAGCAAACGGGAUUAGAUACCCCGGUAGUCCUAGCCGUAAACGAUGGGCACUAAGUAGAGGGGUUUU
rnacentral:rRNA from 1 species